UACGUAGGGGGCAAGCGUUGUCCGGAAUCAUUGGGCGUAAAGAGCGUGUAGGCGGCCAGAUAAGUCCGCUGUGAAAUCUCGAGGCUCAACUUCGAGCUGUCGGUGGAAACUGUCUGGCUAGAGUCCGGAAGAGGAGAAUGGAAUUCCUGGUGUAGCGGUGAAAUGCGCAGAUAUCAGGAAGAACACCCGUGGCGAAGGCGGUUCUCUGGGACGGUAACUGACGCUGAGGCACGAAAGCGUGGGGAGCAAACAGG
rnacentral:rRNA from 1 species